rnacentral:lncRNA from 1 species
UUUUUUUUUUCUUUUUUUUCUGCAGCUGUACAGUCUAAUCUUCCUGGAUGUUUGGGCUGUUUGAUUUCUUUAAAGAUAAUAAGCAUUAUCCAGUUAUCCAUCAUGCUAUAUCUAUAGGCUAUGCCAUGUGACAUAUUGGGCAAUGCUGUAUUAUUAAAAAAAAAAAAAAAAAAAAAAAAAUGUAAACCUAUUUGUAACCUGUGUUUAACCAGCAUAGUUGUAGCAUGUGGUUGUAUUAAUGAACGUUACAGGACAGCUUUAUAAUCAUUUAUAAAUCUGUAACAUUCAAUAAAGAAGCACAUGUGGCAAGGAUUAAUUAUGCUCCCAUUUUCCAUGUUUUUAGCAGCCUCUAGUAAUGGGCAUUUUUGUUCCUGAUCUCUCUUACACUCUUCACAUCUCUCAGACCCCCGUGAGAUACUUAUAUAAGCUGAUGGUGCCUCCGCCACCAGGUCCCACAAGCUGGGAGAGGCAAGGUGUGGUUUUGUGUCUGACAAGCUGGCAUGCUAUGCAAAAGACUACCUAGCAAAUGAACUGAAAGAGUUUAAACUCCAGUUGAAUUAGCUGCCUGUUUACGUCUACUGACCCCAUAAGGAAGCAGUGUGCAGUGUUUUAUAAAUCCAUUCAAUCAGUAGCACUGUCUGUUAUAGAUAAAGUGUUGGUGUUGUUUGGGUGGCUGUAUAUUUGGCCUAGAUGUUGCAUCCAACUUGCUAAUCUUUACCAUAACGAUGUGGCUCGACUGAAGUAAUCCCUCUCCAAACCCAGUCCUAGUUUUGUGUCGGCACAAUGCACGCACGCUAUGCUUUAUAUGUGUCUCUUUGCCUUCGUAAGGCACUUAAGGUUUUACUCUGGUCUGCUGCAAUCCUUAAACCAGUUAUCGAGUCACUCGAACUGUUGGGCUUCUUAAACUGGGGACUACUUUCAGUUCUCACAAACUAAAAACAAGUCAUCAAGGGGUUCUUUUCUCUUUUUAUUUUUUUAAAGCUCUGAGCAAAUAAUAUGAAAUAAAGUAUCAACUACAAGUUGCAAUAGCUCGGGGACCCAGAGAUGACAAGGCAGCACCGCUCUGGAGUCCCAAGGUCUAGGUGUGGGGGCAACUGUAAUAUAGGAAAGACACAUCUUGGAUUCUUUAGGGCUUCCUGGGUGCAAAUUGCUAAAGCGGAGAUAAAAGUCAAGGUGCACGGCGACAGAGCAGAAAUGCACAGAUCAACUGUGAGCGAGCAGUCCCGUGGUAAUGCAUGAGACCUCCCUUCUUGUCCUGUGGCUUUCACACCCCGUGGGUGAGCCAGGCCCAGAGGUGGGAGUGGGGGUGAUCGUUUGAUGAAACACCAGGUGACUCUGAAGAGCUUGUUCUUUCAAGAAGUUGCCGCUCGGUUGUUAUAAGCCCUUCAACAUCUGGAAAGGAAUGGAUCCAAGUUGCCUAGUCAAAAACGCUCCCAAAAUGAGCAGGGAAACCGUUUCUCAGCAUCAGCUUUGCCCUAUAUCUACCAGUCCAGCAUCCUGUCUCUCAGGAGAGAGUCCAUAAGAAAGGGGUCUGGCUCUAACUAAAGAACAACUUCUUCUUUUCUUUUUCUAAUUAAUUUCACCGAGUGUCGAUGGCGCCCUUUGCCCUUGUGACCUCCUUACAUUGGUCAUCCCUAGUAAAAUCAAGAUCUACUGAUUGCUCUGUGUCAUCUAAGAGGGGAUAGAGGUGACCACAUCCUCUGGAUUCAUCAAGAGAUGAUGAUAAUUCCUUUCCUAAUUUUCCUGGAAAAACUGGCCAACUUCUGCUGGCAGCACACGAUCCCUGCAUCAUGGUGUUGGAAACUUGACCAACUCGGAGGGGCAUCAGUGCCGGCCAUGACUCUAAUCCCCAGGGGAGGCAGAUUGCUAAAGAAUGUGAGACACAGGAUGAGAUCAGUCUUGGGCCUGAGGGCACGGGAUUUUUUUUUUUUUUUGGUCUCCCUUCUUCCUGUUUUUUAUUAGUUCAAAGCCAUCUCUUUCUCCCCAGUAUGAGUGUGAGACUAACAGACUCACCCAUUACCUCACAUCCCUGUGGAUCCCAACACAGUAAUGCUAAACAUCAACUACAUGGAAGAAGCCAGAUGUUCUGACCCAGUUCUGGUUGUCCAUCUGACUUCUCCUGCACCCAAGUUCUUAAUGUGGCUGGUGUGGCACAUGUCACAUGCAAUUCUGAACUGCCCGCCUGACUCCUGAAAGGCUCUCUCCACCUUCACCAGCUUCCCAUACAUGGUCAGAACCAGUUGCCUAACUCUCCAUGAAGGGAUUGCCAACUCAAUCCAAGACCCAGAUCUAGAAAGAAAUCAAGAGCAGGAUUUGUUAGGCGUGAGAGCAUACGCAUCUCACAGAAAGACUCAAAUUUGGGUUUCCAACUCCUAUGCUAGUCACACACAUGUGUCUGCCUGCAGUAUUCCCAACGGCCAUAUUUGGAGGCCUCUGAUUUGGAGCCAAGCAGGGUCUGAUUCAUGGUUUUUCACACAGUUAGCAAACACAUCAAAUACACUGGAGAAUUUCAAGUGGGGAGAAGCAGUUUGCCCUACUAGGGGUGACUCUUAGAUCACUUCCAUGUAUGUUGAUUAGCAUGUUUUUCUGGAUCCAAACACAGGACCAGUGUGAGGGAGAUUCAGAGGAAAGAUGUCGUAGCACUCGAAGACUUACCUGCUUCCUGUCACUGGAGCAUCUGACCUGAGUUCUUAUUGCUGCUACCGCUGUGUAAGACAGUCCGUGUAGUCAGUAAACAACUCCAUAGCCAUUUCAUAAUCUAGCACUUAGAUUCACACUGUAAAUGCUCUAACCAUAGUUUAUAAAGGGGGAAGUUAUUCAGAUAUCAUUUUUAAAUGAAUUCCUAUAAAUACAAUGAUUUUGAAAUUGGGUUUACUAACUAUAUAUACAUCUUUUCCUUCUUUCAUGUAUGGAUAGACAGAGGUUUGCAUAUCUACUGACACUAUGAAUAUAUAUAGAGAGAAGAACUGUUCUUUUUUAAAGGUCUCUUACUGGAUUCACAAUGCACUUUGAGCUUGUCUGUUUAGAUAUAUAAUUUGAAGCAGAAGUUGGCAGAUUCUACAGGCAACGAACUUUCUGGAAUUUCUGUAACAAAUGUUUUGCAAUAAAAAAAAAUACAAAUAGUUUAAAAC